rnacentral:rRNA from 1 species
UACGUAGGGUGCAAGCGUUGUCCGGAAUUCUUGGGCGUAAAGAGCUCGUAGGCGGUCUGUCGCGUCUGCUGUGAAAACUCAGGGCUUAACCCUGAGCUUGCAGUGGGUACGGGCAGACUAGAGUGCGGUAGGGGAGACUGGAAUUCCUGGUGUAGCGGUGAAAUGCGCAGAUAUCAGGAGGAACACCGGUGGCGAAGGCGGGUCUCUGGGACGGUACUGACGCUGAGACGCGAAAGCGUGGGGAGCGAACAGG